rnacentral:rRNA from 1 species
CACGUAGGAGGCGAGCGUUGUCCGGAAUCAUUGGGCGUAAAGAGCGCGCAGGCGGCUUGGCAAGUCGGGUGUGAAAUCCCGAGGCUCAACCUCGGGUCUGCAGUCGAUACGGGCAAACUGGAGUGUUGCAGGGGAGACUGGAAUUCCUGGUGUAGCGGUGAAAUGCGCAGAUAUCAGGAAGAACACCCGUGGCGAAGGCGGUUCUCUGGGACGGUACUGACGCUGAGACGCGAAAGCGUGGGGAGCGAACAGG